rnacentral:rRNA from 1 species
CAAGUCGAACGAUGAACCACUUCGGUGGGGAUUAGUGGCGAACGGGUGAGUAACACGUGGGCAAUCUGCCCUUCACUCUGGGACAAGCCCUGGAAACGGGGUCUAAUACCGGAUAACACUUCUGCUCUCCUGAGCAGAGGUUAAAAGCUCCGGCGGUGAAGGAUGAGCCCGCGGCCUAUCAGCUUGUUGGUGAGGUAAUGGCUCACCAAGGCGACGACGGGUAGCCGGCCUGAGAGGGCGACCGGCCACACUGGGACUGAGACACGGCCCAGACUCCUACGGGAGGCAGCAGUGGGGAAUAUUGCACAAUGGGCGAAAGCCUGAUGCAGCGACGCCGCGUGAGGGAUGACGGCCUUCGGGUUGUAAACCUCUUUCAGCAGGGAAGAAGCGAAAGUGACGGUACCUGCAGAAGAAGCGCCGGCUAACUACGUGCCAGCAGCCGCGGUAAUACGUAGGGCGCAAGCGUUGUCCGGAAUUAUUGGGCGUAAAGAGCUCGUAGGCGGCUUGUCACGUCGGGUGUGAAAGCCCGGGGCUUAACCCCGGGUCUGCAUUCGAUACGGGCUAGCUAGAGUGUGGUAGGGGAGAUCGGAAUUCCUGGUGUAGCGGUGAAAUGCGCAGAUAUCAGGAGGAACACCGGUGGCGAAGGCGGAUCUCUGGGCCAUUACUGACGCUGAGGAGCGAAAGCGUGGGGAGCGAACAGGAUUAGAUACCCUGGUAGUCCACGCCGUAAACGGUGGGCACUAGGUGUUGGCGACAUUCCACGUCGUCGGUGCCGCAGCUAACGCAUUAAGUGCCCCGCCUGGGGAGUACGGCCGCAAGGCUAAAACUCAA